rnacentral:rRNA from 1 species
AGAGUUUGAUCCUGGCUCAGAAUCAACGCUGGCGGCGCGCUUAACACAUGCAAGUCGAACGAGAAAGGGGAGCAAUCCCUGAGUAAAGUGGCGUACGGGUGAGUAACACGUGGGUAAUCUACCUUUUGGUGGGGAAUAACCCUGGGAAACCGGGGCUAACACCGCAUAAGCCUGAGAAGGGAAAAGAGAAAUCUGCCGAAAGAGGAGCCCGCGGCUGAUUAGCUAGUUGGUGAGGUAAAGGCUCACCAAGGCGAAGAUCGGUAGCCGGCCUGAGAGGGCACACGGCCACACUGGCACUGAAACACGGGCCAGACUCCUACGGGAGGCAGCAGUGGGGAAUCUUGCACAAUGGGGGAAACCCUGAUGCAGCGACGCCGCGUGAGUGAUGAAGCCCUUCGGGGUGUAAAGCUCUUUCGGCAGGGACGAUAAUGACGGUACCUGAAGAAGAAGCUGCGGCUAACUACGUGCCAGCAGCCGCGGUAAUACGUAGGCAGCGAGCGUUGUUCGGAGUUACUGGGCGUAAAGAGUGCGUAGGCGGUUUUCUAAGUUUGGUGUGAAAUCUCCCGGCUUAACUGGGAGGGUGCGCCGAAGACUGGGGAGCUAGAGUAUGGGAGAGGUAAGCGGAAUUCCUGGUGUAGCGGUGAAAUGCGUAGAUAUCAGGAGGAACACCUGCGGUGUAGACGGCUUACUGGACCAUAACUGACGCUGAGGCACGAAAGCGUGGGUAGCAAACAGGAUUAGAUACCCUCGUAGUCC